CCUAUAGCGCAAUUGGAUAGAGCGUUGGACUUCGAAUCCAGAGGCUGUGAGUUCGAUUCUCACUAGGU
rnacentral:tRNA from 1 species